rnacentral:tRNA from 1 species
GGGCCUGAAGCUCAACAGGAUCGAGCAACCGCUUCGUAUCGGUAGGAUGCAAGUUCGAGUCUUGCCAGGCCCA